rnacentral:rRNA from 1 species
UACAGAGGGUGCGAGCGUUAAUCGGAAUUACUGGGCGUAAAGCGCGCGUAGGCGGCUUUGCAAGUCGGGUGUGAAAUCCCCAGGCUUAACCUGGGAACUGCAUUCGAGACUGCAUUGCUAGAGUAUGGGAGAGGGAAGUGGAAUUUCCGGUGUAGCGGUGAAAUGCGUAGAGAUCCGGAGGAACGCCGGUGGCGAAAGCGGCCACCUGGGUCUGACCUGACGCUGAGGUGCGAAAGCGUGGGGAGCAAACCGG